GAUGAACGCUGGCGGCGUGCCUAAUACAUGCAAGUCGAGCGAACGGACGAGAAGCUUGCUUUUCUGAUGUUAGCGGCGGACGGGUGAGUAACACGUGGAUAACCUACCUAUAAGACUGGGAUAACUUCGGGAAACCGGAGCUAAUACCGGAUAAUAUUUUGAACCGCAUGGUUCAAAAGUGAAAGACGGUCUUGCCGUCACUUAUAGAUGGAUCCGCGCUGCAUUAGCUAGUUGGUAAGGUAACGGCUUACCAAGGCAACGAUGCAUAGCCGACCUGAGAGGGUGAUCGGCCACACUGGAACUGAGACACGGUCCAGACUCCUACGGGAGGCAGCAGUAGGGAAUCUUCCGCAAUGGGCGAAAGCCUGACGGAGCAACGCCGCGUGAGUGAUGAAGGUCUUCGGAUCGUAAAACUCUGUUAUUAGGGAAGAACAUAUGUGUAAGUAACUGUGCACAUCUUGACGGUACCUAAUCAGAAAGCCACGGCUAACUACGUG
rnacentral:rRNA from 1 species